UACGGGGGGGGCAAGCGUUGUUCGGAAUUACUGGGCGUAAAGGGCGCGUAGGCGGCUCGCUAAGUUGGAUGUGAAAACUCUGGGCUUAACCCAGAGCCUGCAUUCAAAACUGACGAGCUAGAGUUCUGGAGGGGAUAGCGGAAUUCCUGGUGUAGCGGUGAAAUGCGUAGAUAUCAGGAGGAACACCGGUGGCGAAGGCGGCUAUCUGGACAGAAACUGACGCUGAGGCGCGAAAGCUAGGGGAGCAAACAGGAUUAGAUACCCUGGUAGUCCUAGCCCUAAACGAUGGAUACUUGCUGUGAGGGGGAUUGAAUCCCUUCGUGGCGAAGCUAACGCAUUAAGUAUCCCGCCUGGGGAGUACGGUCGCAAGGCUG
rnacentral:rRNA from 1 species